AAGAGCGGAUGGAAGAGGGAAUGCUUCCAUCGAGACGGUACCGGGAGAGGAAGCCCCGGCUAACUACGUGCCAGCAGCCGCGGUAAUACGUAGGGGGCAAGCGUUGUCCGGAAUCACUGGGCGUAAAGGGUGCGUAGGCGGUUUUGCAAGUCUGAAGUGAAAGUUCAGGGCUUAACCCUGAGAGUGCUUUGGAAACUGUAAAACUUGAGUGCUGGAGAGGCAAGGGGAAUUCCACGUGUAGCGGUGAAAUGCGUAGAGUGUGGAGGAAUACCAGUGGCGAAGGCGCCUUGCUGGACAGUUCUGACGUGAGGACGAAGCGUGGGGACAAACAGGAUAUAUC
rnacentral:rRNA from 1 species